GCCUGACUGGCUCAGUUGGUGGAGCAUGAGACUCGUAAUCUCAAGGUCAUGAGUUCAAGCCCCACGUUGGGUA